rnacentral:rRNA from 1 species
GAUGAACGCUGGCGGCGUGCCUAAUACAUGCAAGUCGAGCGAACAGACGAGGAGCUUGCUCCUCUGACGUUAGCGGCGGACGGGUGAGUAACACGUGGAUAACCUACCUAUAAGACUGGGAUAACUUCGGGAAACCGGAGCUAAUACCGUAUAAUAUAUUGAACCGCAUGGUUCAAUAGUGAGAGACGGUUUUGCUGUCACUUAUAGCUGGAUCCGCGCCGCAUUAGCUAGUUGGUAAGGUAACGGCUUACCAAGGCAACGAUGCGUAGCCGACCUGAGAGGGGGAUCGGCCACACUGGAACUGAGACGCGGUCCAGACUCCUACGGGAGGCAGCAGUAGGGAAUCUUCCGCAAUGGGCGAAAGCCUGACGGAGCAACGCCGCGUGAGUGAUGAAGGUCUUCGGAUCGUAAAACUCUGUUAUUAGGGAAGAACAAAUGUGUAAGUAACUAUGCACGUCUUGACGGUACCUAAUCAGAAAGCAACGGCUAACUACGUG